rnacentral:tRNA from 1 species
ACCUGGGUGGCUCAGUUGGUUAAGCAUCUGACUUUGGCUCAGGUCAUGAUCUCAUGGUUAGUGAGUUUGAGCCUCACAUUAGGUU